rnacentral:lncRNA from 1 species
AGAGGCUUCAUCAGACGUUGCUGUGGUGUCGUUCUCUAGCCGUUGCUGUGUGUGUCGUUCUCUAGAGUGUUGUGUGUCGUUCUCUAGACGUUGCUGUGUGUCGUUCUCUAGACGUUGCUGUGUGUCGUUCUCUAGACGUUGCUGUGUGUCGUUCUCUAGAGUUGCUGUGUGGUUCUAGACUUGCUGUGUGUCGUUCUCUAGACGUUGCUGUGUGUCGUUCUCUAGACGUUCUGUGUGUCGUGCUCUAGACGACGUUGCUGUGUGUCGUUCUCUAGACGGACGUUGCUGUGUGUCGUUCUCUAGACGUUGCUGUGUGUUCGUUCUCUAGCGGACGUUGCUGUGUGUCGUUCUCUAGACGGCGUUUUUGUUGUUUUGUGUCGUUCUCUAUAAGACGUUGCUGUGGUCUUGGCCUGUGCACUUGAGCCAACAGCUGGCACAUAACAGUGUGGGGUUAGCCUACAUGAUGGAUUAUUAUGGAUAAGGGCUAGAUUUAUUUUGGGG